rnacentral:rRNA from 1 species
UACAGAGGUCUCAAGCGUUGUUCGGAUUCAUUGGGCGUAAAGGGUGCGUAGGCGGCGCGGUAAGUCGGGUGUGAAAUCUCGGGGCUUAACUCCGAAACUGCAUUCGAUACUGCCGUGCUUGAGGACUGGAGAGGAGACUGGAAUUUACGGUGUAGCGGUGAAAUGCGUAGAUAUCGUAAGGAAGACCAGUGGCGAAGGCGGGUCUCUGGACAGUUCCUGGCGCUGAGGCACGAAGGCCAGGGGAGCAAACAGG